ensembl:lncRNA
CCUGGGCAGAUCUGUACCAGAUUCUCAGCUCAUCCUCUGAAGUACAAGACCUUCAACAGACAGGCCUCCUAAUCCUGGAUGACAGGGGUCUGCGGUGCUCGUGGCAGGGCCUGGCCUUACUGGACAGCAUGUUACCCACUCUGCUGCUGCUGCUGGAGGCCUACAUCACCCAGGGGCUCCAGGAGCAGCAGGCCAGGGGCCCCAUAGGAGACCAGAGACAUGGAGGACAGAGGGUCUCCAAGCCUGGCUGACAGACAGGGGAGACUGACCCGGAGACCGAGACUGAGCCGGAGACUGAGCCGGAGACUGAGCCGGAGACUGACCCGGAGACUGACCCGGAGACUGACCCGGAGACUGAGCCCGGAGACUGAGCCCGAGACUGAGCCCGGAGACUGACCCCGAGACUGAGCCCGAGACUGAGCCCGAGCCGGAGACUGAGCCGGAGACUGAGCCGGAGACUGAGCCGGAGACUGAGCCAGAGACUGAGACUGACACUGACCCAGAGACUGACCCGGAGAGACUGACCCCGGAGACUGACCCGGAGACUGAGACUGACCCGGAGACUGACCCCCGGAGACUGACCCCCGAGACUGACCCGGAGACUGACCCGGAGACUGACCCGGAGACUGACCCCGGAGACUGAGCCCGGAGACUGAGCCCGGAGACUGAGCCCGGAGACUGAGCCCGGAGACUGAGCCCGAGACUGACCCGGAGACUGAGCCGGCAGCCACUAUGAACUGUAGCUACUGGUCUAGUCGACCAUCUACACUGAUGAAGUAGAUUAGCUGCAGUAAGAUGACACUAACCUGCCGUCAUCGUGUUCUGAUCAGUGACAGGUUAGAUGGGCCUGAGAUGCUGAUAAAGCUCUGUACUUUACAGUUUAACAGGAUGCUGUCGGGACUCGGGAAAGGUUCUCCACACCAUGUCUUCUAUGAACAAAUCAUUCUGUACCCCUUCAAUGCAGUAGAGGGAAUCUCUCUCUCACACACACACACACACACACACACACACACACACACACACACACACGACAAGCAGUUACCAAAAGCAGCAGUUAAAUAGGUUGUUUAUGAAGGUUAGCGUGCCAUGGACUCCAGUUCCUCCACGCUUCUCUAGUUCUCUGUCAUCAGAGCUGUAGUGAACCACUGUUAUUGUCGAGGUCCCUGGAAUGGAGCUCUGCUUUCCCAUCAUCAUAGCGUGAGAAGAGAGGG